rnacentral:rRNA from 1 species
UGGGGAAUUUUGCACAAUGGGGGGAACCUUGAUGCAGCGACGCCGCGUGAGGGAUGGAGGCCUUCGGGUUGUGAACCUCUUUCGCUCGUGUGCAAGCCGCUAUUUGGGUAGUGGUGAGUGUAGCGGGUAAAGAAGCGCCGGCUAACUACGUGCCAGCAGCCGCGGUAAUACGUAGGGCGCGAGCGUUGUCCGGAUUUAUUGGGCGUACAGGGCUUGUAGGCGGUUUGUCGCUCCUGUCGUGUAAUCCUCUGGCUUAACUGGGGGUGUGCGGUGGGUACGGGCAAGCUUGAUUGCGGUAGGGGAGAUUGGAAUUCCUGGUGUAGCGGUGGAAUGCGCAGAUUUCAGGAGGAACACCGGUGGCGAAGGCGGGUCUCUGGGCCGUUACUGACGCUGAGGAGCGAAAGCGUGGGGAGCGAACAGG